UUCUACGAAGAAAAGUUACCGGCAUAUCUUCGUAGUGAUUGAUGCCUUUACGAAGUUCGUUUGGUUGUAUUCCACAAAGUCAACAAGUUCUGCGGAGGUUAUUAGUCGCUUGAGGAAGCGGUCUGUGAGUUUUGGGAAUCCGAGAAGAAUUAUCUCCGAUCGCGGGACGGCAUUCAUGGCUGGCGCCUUUGAGGACUAUUGUAAUGAGGAAGGUAUACAGCACGUUCGGAAUGCAACCGGAUAUCCGCGGGCAAACGGUCAAGUGGAAAGAAUGAACCGGAUGAUUAUUCUCUUACUGACGAAGUUGUCUGCGCCAACACCAAACGAGUGGUACUUGAACGCAACAAGCUCCAGCAGAAGUACGAACGUUACCCCGUUCCAGCUGUUGUUUGGAACGCGGAUAAGAAAGCAGAGCGAUCCGCAGAUCAGGCAGUUGGUCGAAGACGAGUGGGCCGUGAUGUUCCAGGAGGACCGAGAUCAGUUGUGGCGUAGAAGCAAAGAGACGGAUCGGGGAGAUUCAAGUUAAAAACAGGCGAGCGUUUAACAAGAGACGUAAGAAGACGACAACAUACAAGACGGGGGAUCUGGUGCCGAUCGAGAGGACGCAGGGCGGUCUUGGGCUAAAGCUGCAUUCGAAGUCCCUUGGGUCGUACCGCGUUGUGGAAGUUUUGCGAAAUGACCGUUACAUGGUGCAAAACGACCUUCACGGCGGCUGAUCAUAUGAAACGGUGGGACAUUGUUGGAGUUAGUGAUGCAAGUGAAACUAGUGAUGAUGAACACAUCUGAGGGCAGAUGUGAUUGUCAGAAUGGCCGAGUGUAUUAUCGUGGAAGAAAGGCCUAAGAGGUGAACUAUCGGGCGAACUAUAAACAAUGUCGCGAGAAAGCCGAAGUGCCGACAGGCCCAACAAUGUAUCGUUUGUCCUUCAAUCGAAUAGUUUCGCGGAAAAGGCAGUUGCGGAACACGUGCGUGGUGGGGCUAAGACAAAAGACAAAGAGAUGCUAAGGGACAAAGACGAAUUAACAGACAGUGUUAGUUGAGAAGUCAGAGAGUGUAAAUCGAGAAGUCAGGGAGUGCGAAUUGCGUUGUCCACAGUGUGUUGCUAGUAUUGUCGAGAAAGUGCGGUCCGCGUGAGGGAUCCGUGCUGAGUUGCAAAUUAACUAUCUAGUUUCCUUAAUUAUAAUAUGUUAUUGUGAUUAGUUCACGUUAAACAACCAUCGUUUCCUGUUUAACUAAUAUCUGUUUAAUUCAUUUAUUGUAAAUAAACUAAUUGUAGUAAAGAUCCUACAAAAUAGAGUAUACUAUGUGUAGGACAACUUAUGACAUCGCUGGCUCAAGCAAAUUUAAGAACGUCUGCUUCCUGUUUGGUGUUUACGGACAAUUUAAUGAUUAUUGUCGAAGAUCCAAAACUAUGUGAAGAAAUGCAUCAAUACAAAGUCAUAAACAAAAACUAAACACUAUAUAUUGAAAGUUAGCGCCUUAAUGAAGCAUUUUAUUGAUGCCGAUUACGUGUAGUUAGGACCACGGUCAUGUAAACAGUUCUUGACACGCAUAUACCGAUAGCAUAGAAGAAAUGGUCCGAAAGUUGUGUUGUGAUAAAGGAAAACAAGAAGGGCAUUCUACGUAUGCGUGGCACGCUAUGAAUGUUACAGACAGAGACAUUAGUACUUUAUUCGUCUCCGCCUGCCUCGUAAGAACGAGGCCGAAACUGUAAAACCGUUCCAUGUUCUCUGAUUUCGAUGAUUUGUGAAGCUCAACAUUUUAAACAAUUUUUUCUUCCAUAUGUAAACGGUAGAUGGGCCAUGGUUUCCGAGAAAUUCGCAAAAGCUGUGGGUACAACUGCAGUGUACUUUCGCUGAUAAUUGUGUUUCUACGGUAGCGCACGCAGCAUUGGCUACCAGCGGCCGAAUCUAUCACUCGCUCUCUCUUUGUCUUGACGAACGAGGCUGGGACGAGCUUGGGUAAACUUCAGUACACAGUUGCAUAUGAGAUACUCUAAGAUAUGUCUGUUAUGAUUCAAUCAGAAGCGAAUGUCGUCAAUGUAUUGGGUUUGGGUUUAGACUACUUCUUUCAAUCUGGCCAGAGCGAGACGACCUGCAGCGCUAGCGUGAAGUAAUAACAAACUAAUUAUAAAAAUGGGUUGACCUUAGUGCGAGCGUGUAUCUGUAAUUAGGUUUGUGAUUAUUAAAUAGGAAUGGGACUAUGUGUAUUUUCGACCAAUCGCGGGGAGACGCGUUCGCGAGAUAUCACGUCAACGGGAGUCGUAAAUUCCCGCUACGAUUAUAAUAAUCGACACCACGAUUUGAUCGAUCUUCUCUGAGGAACAAAUGUUAAAGUUCAUUUUGACAUUUACGUUUACUAAGAAAAAUAUCCUACUAUCGAUGAAGCAGGAGAAAAUUGUAGGUAUAUCAGAAUACCGGGAUAACGGAAGACUUUUACAUGUAGGGAAAAGGUUAAUCAACGAUACGGUUUACAGUGACUAAGUGAACUUGAUGAGCAAGAACUUAAUAUUGCGACGUUUAAAUCCGUAUCAAAGGUCAAAUCGGCUGUGCAUAUUUGCCAAUGUGUUUAUAUAUAGUACGUUGUGUUAAGAAAUGUUAAGUUGGUAUGAUCGCUAGUUCCUACAAGCUAAGUUGGUACGACUUGUAACGACGCUCUUCUGUCUCAGGAGUUGACCACGUGUUAAUUAUCUAAGUGGAUCCGGUGUGUUUAGACGUUUUGUACGAGGUGGCGAAAUAUAGAAAGUAAAAUAGAAUCUGUGUGAAUCAAUUAAAUGUCGAACUCAAAAAGCUAUUUAAUAACACGUUGUUCGAUCAAUCGGCGAAUACAAGACAAAUCUUACAAUUUUAAAGUGGUUAUGCACUUCAAAUAUCUAUGUCUCUUGGCGAAAUUUUUAUCAUUGGAUGCUGCUUAGGUUGUAACUACGCUUAUGGACUAUAUGAUGAAUGCAGUAAUACCUCAAUCAACAAAUGCCAGCUUUUGGACUCGCGAAAAACCACAUGCAAUAAUUCGAAAGAUUUAUUCAAGAAUGAAAUUAUGCGCCAGCAACAAUGACAUGUGCAUUAUAUUUGCGAUUUUUACGUUUACGACUUCGUAGAAAAUUUAAAGCAGUACACAGUUAAAGCAAAGGCGUAAACUCUAUCUAUUUCAUACACGAUUGCUCACGAUUUAUGUUAUAGUCGACCACUUUGUCAAUUUUUGAAUGAAACAUUUGUAUUAUAGCGGACAGAAUGCAGACCCGUUGCUCAUAGAGCAUCCCGUUCUCCAUAUUCGACACUAGUGGACUUUGCUCACAAUAAAAUGAAAACUGCGUGUAAUUUAUAAAAUAUAAAAGUCAUAAUGCUUGUUAGUUUCAAUAAAUUCUCGAACGAUAGCGUAGAUGGUUACUACUUAACAAACUUAAACUGCGAUAAUAUCCAUCGAGAUAACGAUCUACAGUGAGAUCCGUUAUAACGAGACGUGAUAAAGUGCACGCGUACCGAGCGAAAAU